GUCUACAGCUAUACCACCCUGAACAUGCCGUCUCAUCUGAUCUCGGAAGCUAAGCAGGGUCGGGCCUGGUUAAUACUUGGAUGGGAGACCACCUAGGAAGACCAGGUGCCGUAGGUG
rnacentral:rRNA from 1 species